CCCUAGCGCAGCCACACAAAGAGAAAGUAAGAGUGAAGAACUCAAAUCAUCAUCGCCACACCAUCCACCGUCGGCUCAAACCCAUCCACUAUUGUCGAACAACUCAAGGGUUUGAGUGUCUUCAAUCUCUCAGUUCCGUUUUCCAGAUCUGCGGACUAACAUGACAAGAAAAAAUAUGAAGGACCUUCUUGAAACUUAAACUUUAAAUCAUGGUAUAGUUUUGCCUACAAAUAACUAUUUAUAUAUAUUUAGUAUAAAAAUAUUUGGUAUAUAUCUUAAUAAUUCAAAUAGAAGUCAUCCCAAUUUCUCAGUUUUGAGGUCGGCUGACACUUGCUGCUCUCCAGGAGUGGAAACUACACGUUCAUUAUCAUUCUCCAUAUGUUAUGUUAUAUUAUAUGAUCGGGUGAAGUUAUGAACAUACUUAUUAGACAUUAAAGUUUUCUGUAUUUCAAUAUUCCUUGCAAUUGCUCUCAAAGUUAGCCUUGUUGCUUUUGCCCCCGUGCUAAUUAGGAAUAACAAACUCACUUAGUUAGUUAUAGUUGACAGCUGCCAGGCAAACGAUAGGAGUGACCUUCUAUAACAGGUCAAGCAUUCAGCAUCUAUAUAAGUUGAAGUCUGCACAUUGCAAUCACUUUUCCAUAUAUAGAAAUUCAGUUACAGUUUCAUCAAGAAUGAUGAAUAUUUCUCUCUAUUAAUACUUCUCAUACAAAAUACUAACCAAGAAUCAUGACCUUAUAGAAAAAUCAAAAGGCAAUAUAACAUGCAAGAACUUUUAGUUUGUACUAAUUUA